CAGUCGCCACGGGAAUACGGAGGGUGCAAGCGUUAAUCGGAAUUACUGGGCGUAAGGCGCACGCAGGCGGUUUGUUAAGUCAGAUGUGAAAUCCCCGAGCUUAACUUGGGAACUGCAUUUGAAACUGGCAAGCUAGAGUCUUGUAGAGGGGGGUAGAAUUCCAGGUGUAGCGGUGAAAUGCGUAGAGAUCUUGAGGAAUACCGGUGGCGAAGGCGGCCCCCUGGACAAAGACUGACGCUCAGGUGCGAAAGCGUGGGGAGCAAACAGGAUUAGAUACCCCAGUAGUCCCUGUCUCUUAUAC
rnacentral:rRNA from 1 species